ensembl:snRNA U6 U6 spliceosomal RNA
GUGCUUGCUUUGGCAGCCCAUAUACUAAAAUUGGAAGGAUACAGAGAAGAUUAGCAUGGCCCCUGCUCAAGGAUGACACGCAAAUUCGUGAAGCGUUCCAUAUUUUU